AUGUUUUUAUGUUGCUUUAUUAACGCAAUUAUUAUUAUUUUUUAAACAUUGUAUUCAAACUGUUAUGUGACACGUAUUAAUGCCAAAAUAACAUGCUAAUCAGGCUCACCAAAAAAAACAUAUAUUUUUUUUAGCUAAACAGUUGGGGCUGAAAACACCUGAAGGACGGGUCGCCACUGCAUAACAGUCCGUUAUCUUGAUCAGUAAUGGUCUUUUAGGAAAUGGCUACUGUUGACAUGGAUACCGCAACUGUUAUGACUGUUUCUAUGGAAACGGUUACCAAGAGCAAGGUCGGCCUCCCUUGGUGUCAUGGCAACACAACGCCGGCGGAAACAUCAAAUCAACAUCCAGUUCUGGUUAGUAUUAGAUUUUAGUUGUAAACCCAACGUACUUUCAACUUGAAAUAAACCAACGAUACAGUAUAUUGCACUAAUCAAUGAUAAAAGUUGAUGAGAUGAUGGCCUGAGUGUCUGUAUGUUUGUGUUAUCAUGCGAAUUCGUCAUGCCAAACUGGUUAGCUUAAAACAUUGACAAUGACAGCAAGACAUGGAGUUGUCAAGGGCACAAUAGAUUUAGGACCAGGUUAAUAAGAACACAAUAGAUUUAGGACCAGGUUAAUAAUAACACAAUAGAUUUAGGACCAGGUUAAUACGAACACAAUAGAUUUAGGACCAGGUUAAUAAGAACACAACAGAUUUAGGACCAGGUUAAUAAGAACACAAUAGAUUUAGGACCAGGUUAAUAAGAACACAAUAGAUUUAGGACCAGGUUAAUACGAACACAAUAGAUUUAGGACCAGGUUAAUAAGAACACAACAGAUUUAGGACCAGGUUAAUAAGAACACAAUAGAUUUAGGACCAGGUUAAUAAGAACACAAUAGAUUUAGGACCAGGUUAAUAAGAACACAACAGAUUUAGGACCAGGUUAAUAAGAACACAAUAGAUUUAGGACCAGGUUAAUAAGAACACAACAGAUUUAGGACCAGGUUAAUAAGAACACAACAGAUUUAGGACCAGGUUAAUCAGAACACAAUAGAUUUAGGACCAGGUUAAUAAGAGAGGGAGAGAGAGGCAGAGAGACAGAGAGAGAGAAGGGGAGAGAGAGAGCGAGAGAGAGAGAAGGGGAGAGAGAGAGAGAGAGAGAGAGAGAGAGAGAGAGAGAGAGAGAGAGAGAGAGAGAGAGAGAGAGA
rnacentral:lncRNA from 1 species